rnacentral:lncRNA from 1 species
CUUGUACAACUAUCCAUUCCAUUUCUCAAGAAAUAAUUUACCUUUUUUUUAAUUCUUUAAAUAAAGUAGAUAAAAUAUUUGGAAAGUUCAGAUACCAAAGUUUACACGUAUUUCUCUUCUACCCAAAUGAAUUCUUUAUUAUUCAUUGCUUAUCUUCUUCUUUGAAGAAACUUUUUUCUUUUUAGUAAAAACAGUUCUAUAACAGAACCUUAAAAAAAAUUAUCGAAUCCGUAAACGCAAUUUUGACCAUCUGACAGGAUUCGAAGAAAAAAAUCGGUUAGGGUGGCGCUUCUAAUCAGAUCCAAAAAUUCAUACAACCAGUUAUGAAGAUUUUUCUCACAGGUAUAUUCAUACAAAAAUCUUUUUUCCAAGAGUUUUAUAUUUUAAACUCGAAAAAUAACGUGUAAAAAUGGAGUAAUAAACUUGGCUUUGAUACCAUUGAUAGAAAAUUAAGGAGCAAAAUAGUGUGUACCUUGACAAAUUUCGUAGUAGAUGUGAUUUUGCUACCGAAAGGAUCUGCCCCAAGUCCACUUUGUUUCUCUUGAAAACAGAGUAUUGAUUCACAAACUAAAAAUCUCCUUUUAAAUUUUUGUUAAUGUUUUUAUUUACCGUAAUAUUUAUUUUUAGUUAUUUUUUUUUUCAGAAGAAGUGAAUAUGUACAAGAGUAGUGGGUGGAUAAACCAGUUAUACAGUAACUGUCCCUCUCUUUUUCAAAAUUAAAUUGUUCCCUUCUUAUCUUUCAUUUAACAAAUAAUUAAAAUAAAAAACUGGGUCGGACCGAAUCGGAUUGGGUCGAUCCACAUGGACGACUCAUGACCCCUAAUCUAACAAUUAGGAUAAUAAUAAAAUUAGAAGAAAGACAAAAAAUAAGAAAAAAUAGACUCUACAAAGGAGAAACUAAGCUAAUUCUAAUAAUUUGUGGAGCACCAAGGCAUAAAUGAUUGGGUGCCUAUUGUAAAUCUAUCUAAUUUUUGGUGAAGUAUUUCAACAACGUCAAUAAAAUAUGAAGAUAAUUGCAUUUAUAAUUUAAUAAUUUCAAUUCAUUAAUAACCUAGAAAUAGUAUUUUAUUUCACAUUUGUUUAUAUUAGAAGUAAAAAAUAUGCUUCAUAUGAAUCAUAAAUGUUCUUGCAAUUUCCAGUUAUGUUAGAUAGUGUUGAAAUUCGUAACAGUUUCAUCUUAAAAAAUGUCAUACCAAGAAAAUAUGCAUAAGCUUUUUUAUCCAACUUCAUAGUACUAUAUCUAUUAUGGAGUUUGUGUACUGUUCAUGAGAGAUUUGGUUUUGCAGCCUUUUACAAAGUUUCUUAGUUUUUUGUCCUUUUUAUAGGAUUUCUCAUUUUUGCAUACUAGAUUUAGAAAAAGAAAAAAUUACACGCCAUAUAUAAAAUUAUUUUUUAAUUACAUGAUAUGAUUAAUAUUUCAAAAAAUUAUUCUACAUAGUUAUUUAUUAGUUAUAAAAAUAUUUUUUGUGGGCCCCUAUAUAUAAAUAUAAUAUGCAAUAUAUAUAACAAAUAAUACUCUCUUUCUCAUGUAAUUAAUUUUUUAUAAUCUCUCUCUAAUCUAAUUAGCUAAUUUUACCGCAUUAACUUAUGCACUGUUCUUGAACAUAUCUCAAUGAAAAUUUUUCUCCCAAAUUAGUUAAUUUAUUUUCUUUUCCUAAACAUCCAUUGUGAUUUUGCGUUGAAAAUUUUUUGAAGUAAUUUCUCGUCCCUAAACAUAUGUGAGGAUAUGCAUUGAAGAUUUUGUGAUAAUCUUUAAUUUUUUUGGGUAAAUAGAUUUGUUUUCUUUUAAUUUUUUUUUAGCUAUUCUCUAAAUGAACCCUAUGUUUCUUCAGAUUUAAUCUAUUUUAUAGAAUGGAAUGUAAAAUUUGAAAAUCGAAUUGUAUAUUAGUGUCAUUUCACAGGAUAAAUCUUGAUGAAUUAUCUUCAUAAUUGGGAUCCAAUUUUAGUGAAUUUGAUAAUUGUAUAUAGACGAUGUAAUUGUAUUAAGUUGCAUAGAUUUUUGUACGUCGGUAUUCAUUGUAUAUUUUUUUCAUUUGUAUAUUUUCUAUACAUAUGAAUGUAUUGAAUGUAUAUUUUUGAUGUAUAUAUUUGAAUUUUUGUAUAACUAUGAUGUAUACAAGUUUGUUCUGUGUUGGUACACAUAUACAUAUAUAUAUGCAUAUAUAUGUGUUGGCUCAAUAUACAUUAUUCAUAUGUGUAUACAUAUGUUCUAUAUUUAUGUAUAUAUACAUAUUCAUAUCUGUAUAUAUGUACAUACAUUUGAAUAUAAGUAUAAUUAUUUCUAUACACAUACGCUGAUUUUUAUACAUUGUGUAUCACAUAUUAGAAUGAGUAUCAACGCAUUAAGAUUCUAAUAUAAAAAUGUUCAAUCAUUUAAUUGCAUAUGAAUAAUAUUAUACGUUCAUACAAUAUAGCGUUGACAUACAUAUGUAUAUGUUUAUUCAAUACAUAGUUGAUAUGAAUAUGUAUAUGUUAUACAAAUGUGUUUGUGUCAUAUGUAUAUGUUUAUUUGAUUAAUUGUAUAUGUAUAAUAUUCUAUGUUUAUACAAUAUGUUAUUGAUAUGCAUAUGUAUAUAUUAUACACUACACAUAAUUAUAAAAUUCUAAUGUGUUUGUAUGUGUGUGUGUAUAUAUAUAUAUAAAAUUAAGAUUCAAUUGUAUAAAGUAUAGUUGAUUUUUAUACAUUUGUACUAAAAAGGGCCAACUAUGGAAGGAGAAUCACCAACAAUUUUUAUUAUAUAGAAGGAGAAUAUUGGAGGAAGUUGGAGAUAAUAAUAUGCAUUAUUCUUUUUUUUUUAAAAAUUAAUAUUAAUUAUAUUGUAUAAAUGAGUCUUAAAUACAUUUGAUCACUAACUAAUGUCUAUAAAAUAUAAUUAGUAAAACUUAGACCAUAGAGUUAGUUAGAAGAAGUUUAUAUAUGAAACUUUGCCUUAGAAAAAUUCAUUUUCUUCUAUCUAAACGUAAGUGGUUAUAAGAAGUCAUUUUCCCUUCAAUACUUCUCACGAAGAUCAUUUGAAAUACAAUCUCUCUUGCAAAUACAAUUUAAAUAAAAGAAAAUGGAAUACACUUUCUUAUCAACUGUAUAAUUUUUCCCACCAAACGUAAUUUGUAAGGAUCAAUUAAGCCCGGAGUCACUAAAUCUUGCUUUAAGCUCUAACAACUAAAGCCUUUUCACUUGGGAAAAGAUUUUAAUUAUUUGAAUGUACAAAAUUAUGCAUAUUACUGUAGGGGUAUUCACGGUUUGGUUUUUAACCAAACCAAAUCACAAUCCAAAUUAAACCGAUUAAAAAAAUUGAUAUUUGGUUAGGUUUGAUUUGGUAUGGUUUUGAAAUUUAAAAAAUCGAUACUAAUUUGGUUUGGUUUGAUUUUACUCUAAAAUAACCGACAAAAUAAUCAAACCGAACCGAUAUAUAUAUAUAUAUAUAUAUAUAAUUAUUUUUAUAUAUAUAUAUAUUAUAAUUAUUUAUAUAUUAUUCAUAAAUACAAUCUAAAUAUUUAUUACAUUUUAUAUUUUAAUCAUGAUUUAACUUUAGUCGUAACACAUUUAGUCAUAUGUCUUCAUCCAAUUGACAGUACCUUAUGAGAUUCUAAAUGAAUUUCUCAUUUUGAAUGACAAAUGAUACUAAUUGUGAAAAUAAUAUCUUGUUGUAUAUUGAAUUUUAUAGCUGAGAUUAUUAGACUAUAGACAAUCACUAAUUUUAACUUUCUUUUUUAACCUGGUUGAGCAAGAAGUUUAUGUGUUCACCUUUUGGGAGUUUAUAAUAUCAUUCUGUUAAAUAUUGUUUUUUAAUACUUUCUUAGAAGUGUUCAUAUGGUGUUGUCAUGGCUUUGCCAAAGUAUAACGCUCAGUUGACAUCAUAGUUUCAAAGUUGAUAUACAACACUCGAUUGACAUCUCAUAUAUUAAAUUGGAUUUGUUUUUUAAAUUUUCAACUUUUAUCAUUAGCUAAAGUUAUAAAUCGAAAAAAUCGAACCAAAUCGAUGGUUAUUUUUUUAUUUAGUUUGGUUUGAUUUUAGAAAUUUUAAAACCGACUAAGUUGAUUUGGUUAUGAUUUUGACCAAUAACCGACCCAUGAAUACCCCUAAAUAUUAGUAUUCUAUUAAGUGGCAUAUAAUUGAGAUUACUAAACCUGAGAGUUAAAAAGAUACGCACCCAUGUUUUUGCUUGAAAAUGGAUUUGAAUUAUUUGAAAUGUAUAAAAUUAUAUUUGACAUUCCAUUUACUGGUAAGAAGAUUGUGAGAUAUUACAAGGGAUGAGAAUUUUUUAAAAUAAUUUUAUUAUAUAAUUUUUUCCUUUGUACCCUUAGUAUUAAUAAUUACAUAAUAGUAAUAACAGUCAAAUUUAGAGUUCCAAAUCAUCAUUAAUAAAGCUAAUUUAGUAUUAAAAGUUUUUUAAAGGGCGUGUCGAGCCAAUAAGGGCGGAAUAAAAUGAAAAGGAGGGAGUAUUCAUCAACAUGGCCAGCUAAUUGAUGAAGGU